rnacentral:lncRNA from 1 species
CCAUCAUGCAUCUUCAGGUCUGCUAGAGCAAACCCUGAGGGCUGCUUUAGAGAGGGUUAUCAAGGGAGACUUCUUGGAGGAGGUGGCUUCUGACUGUGACUUGAAUGCCAGGACUGUUUGCCCUGCCCCCUGCCAUCUCUCCUUCCCAGAUGGUGCUCCAAGAGGCAGCUUGUGGACCUGGUGAUGGAAGGGGUGUGGCAGGAGCUGCUGGACAGCGCCCAGAUUGAGAUCUGUGUGGCUGACUGGUGAGUGAGGAGCGGCACCCUGCCCCAGAGCAGCAGCAGGCUUGGCAGCGGCUCUGCAACAGGGGCUCAUUUCCCGCCCCAUCAACCCCACGGGUAGCGGCUGUCACUGUGCACCCUUUGUGAUGAGGCUGAGAGGGGAAGUGAUGCAGAGCCGGGGAAGGUAGAGCUUUGGAGAAGCCAGAGCCCCCACUCUGCACUCCUGCCCACCCUCAUCCCAGCAGGCUGGGGUGGUCCACAGGGGGCCACUGACUGGCUUGAUACCCCUCUGAAACGAGACACCUCCCCUGACCACCUUGUGGAUGCCCAGGGUCUCUGAAGGGGUGGGAGCAUGGUGCCCUGUGAGCUGAGGCUCAGGGAGCAUAGUUGGGACAGGACUGGCUUCAGAGCCUACAGGCUUAGGAUGAAUGCCUUCUUCCCAAAACACCCAGGUUCUGCCCCAAAGCAUUCCAGCUCCUCCUUCAGGCUGUGGCUCUUCCAUAGAAAAUCUGGUCUCUUCCCUGGGGCUCUGGCUCUUCCCUGAAGUCAUCAGGCACCUGCCCUGCAUUGUGGUUCUUCCCCAGAGCAUCCUUUCCCGUCCCCCAACUACCUACCCAAAAGCCUCCAGAAUCAACCGCAGGACCACCCAGGCUCCUCCCCCAGGACCACCCAGGCUCCUCCCCUGCUCUGGCUCCACCCCAGGACCACCCAGACUCCUCCCCCAGGCUCUGGCUCCACCCCAGGGUCACCCAGGCUUCUCCUCCAGGUUCUGGUUCCACCCCAGGACCACCCAGGCUCCUCCCCCAGGACCACCCAGGCCCCUCCCCCAGGCUCUGGUUCCACCCCAGGACCACCCAGGCUCCUCCCCCAGGACCACCCAGGCUCCUCCCCUGCUCUGGCUCCACCCCAGGACCACCCAGACUCCUCCCCCAGGACCACCCAGGCCCCUCCCCGAGGCUCUGGCUCCACCCCAGGACCACCCAGAUUCCUCCCCCAGGACCACCCAGGCCCCUCCCCCAGGCUCUGGCUCCACUCCAGGACCACCCAGACUCCUCCCCCAGGACCACCCAGGACCCUCCCCCAGGCUCUGGCUCCACCCCAGGGUCACCCAGGCUCCUCCCCCAGGCUCUGGCUCCACCCCAGGACCACCCAGGCUCCUCCCCCAGGCUCUGGCUCCUCCCCAGGACCACCCAGGCUCCUCCGCCAGGCUCUGGUUCCACCCCAGAACCACCAAGGCUCCUCCCCUAGAGGUUCCCAGGCCAGGACGUCUCCAAAUGUGGUCCAGAUGUGCAGGACCUUCAUCAAGAUGGAGCCAGCCCUCAGCCUCCCGCCCCGAAACCCAGAGAGCUGGCUGGGUGACGGGGGCAUAGAGGCUGACUGCUGCCUGGCAGGUGGGGCGCUCGAGAGAACUGCGGCUGCGUCUACCAGCUCCGGGUCCGCCUUCUGGAUGUGUAUGAAAAGGAAGUGGUCAAGUUCUCAGCCUCACCUGACCCGGUCCUUCAGUGGACUGAGAGGGGCUGCCGACAGGUCUCCCACGUCUUCACCAACUUUGGCAAGGGCAUCCGCUACGUAUCUUUUGAGCAGUACGGGAGAGACGUGAGUUCCUGGGUGGGGCACUAUGGCGCCCUUGUGACCCACUCCAGUGUGAGGGUCAGGAUCCGUCUGUCCUAGCGACUGGACUACUGCCUGACGUUGUCAGUCAAGACCAGCCUUGCAGCCAGGUGCAGUGGCUCACACCUGUGGAAUCCCAGCACUUCAGGAGGCCGAGGUGGGAGGAUCACUGGAGCUCGGGAGUUCAAGACCAGCCUGGGCAACAUAGUGAAACCGUCUCCACAAAUAAUUUUUAAAAAAUUAGCCAGGCAUGGUGGUGCCGCCUGUAGUCCCAGCUACUCAGGAGGCUUGGGUGGGAGGAUUGCCUGAGACCAGGAGGUUGAGGCUGCAGUGAGCCGUGAUUUCACCACCACUCCAGCCUGGGUGAGAAAGCAAGACCCUAUAUCAAUG